rnacentral:rRNA from 1 species
GAUGAACGCUGGCGGCGUGCCUAAUACAUGCAAGUCGAGCGAACAGACGAGGAGCUUGCUCCUCUGAUGUUAGCGGCGGACGGGUGAGUAACACGUGGAUAACCUACCUAUAAGACUGGGAUAACUUCGGGAAACCGGAGCUAAUACCGGAUAACAUGUUGAACCGCAUGGUUCAACAGUGAAAGACGGUCUUGCUGUCACUUAUAGAUGGAUCCGCGCCGCAUUAGCUAGUUGGUAAGGUAACGGCUUACCAAGGCAACGAUGCGUAGCCGACCUGAGAGGGUGAUCGGCAACACUGGAACUGAGACACGGUCCAGACUCCUACGGGAGGCAGCAGUAGGGAAUCUUCCGCAAUGGGCGAAAGCCUGACGGAGCAACGCCGCGUGAGUGAAGAAGGUCUUCGGAUCGUAAAACUCUGUUAUUAGGGAAGAACAAAUGUGUAAGUAACUAUGCACGUCUUGACGGUACCUAAUCAGAAAGCCACGGCUAACUACGU